rnacentral:piRNA from 1 species
UGCUUCCACAAUUUGCUAUAA